rnacentral:rRNA from 1 species
AGAGUUUGAUCCUGGCUCAGGACUAACGCUGGCGGCGUGCCUAACACAUGCAAGUCGAGCGGGGUAGCAAUACCCAGCGGCAGACGGGUGAGUAACACGUGGUCAACCUUCCCUACAGUGGGGGAUAACUAGCCGAAAGGUUAGCUAAUACCGCAUGACAUCCACGAUCGGCAUCGAUUGUGGCUAAAAGGAGCAAUCCGCUGAAGGACGGGACCGCAUCCCAUCAGCUAGUUGGCGGGGUAAUGGCCCACCAAGGCGACGACGGGUAGCUGGUCUGAGAGGAUGGCCAGCCACAUUGGGACUGAAAGACGGCCCACACUCCUACGGGAGGCAGCAGUGCGGAAUCUUGCGCAAUGGCCGAAAGGCUGACGCAGCGACGCCGCGUGUGGGAGGAAGCUCUUCAGGGUGUAAACCACUGUUGCCCGGGACGAACGACGAGUUUUGACUCGUGUGACGGUACCGGGUGAGGAAGCACCGGCAAACUCUGUGCCAACAACCGCGGUAAUACAUAUGGUGCGACCGUUGUCCAGAAUCACUGGGCGUAAACGGUGUGUAGGCUGCUUGGUAAGGUUGCGGUGAUAGCCCGGGGCUCAA